GGCUUGGAAGCUGAAGAACUGGGGCAGUUUGAGGUGACGAGAGAGGAUGUUCUAAACUGUCUUGAAAAACUAAAAAUUAACAGAUCGUCAGAGCCAGAUGGCAUCCAACCAAGAAUUCUGAAGGCUCAGAAUCAAGUAGCAUGUGAUGCUCAGUCUGAACAGUGGUCUCCAUGAAGGUUUUAAUUACAUCAGGUACUGGAUUAAAAAGCAGCUUAGAAGCAGCAAUUUUGAAAGGAGUCCAGGAGGAUGCUAGCAUAGCUACAGGUAAAGUCAAGGAAGCCAUAAAGAAGAAGAAGAAGAAGAAGAAGAAGAAGAAGAAGAAGAAGAAGAAGAAAUUUCCUUCUGAAAUUGGUAGGCCUGCACAAAUGAAGAGAACAGAAAGGAACACAAACUCUGGCAAAAGAAAUGCAAGGUGACAAUAAGGAAGGAAAAAAGAGAGUUUGAGGAACAUUUAGCUAAAAGCAUCAAGGAGGAUUUAAAAAACUCUUUUAAAUACAUCAGAAGCAGGAAACCUGCCAUGGAGGAAGUUGGACCAUUAAGACAAUGAGGGAGUGAACGGGAUGAUAUGGAAGUUACAGAGAAGCUAAAUGAGAAGCUAAAUGAGAAUCUGUCUUCCUGGCAGGAUACUGAGCAUAUACCUGUUCCUGAAUCAGGCUUUCUGGGGACAGAGGUUAAAGAACGGAGUCAGAUAGAAGUGACAAGAGAUGAUGUUCUAAACUGUCUGGAAAAAUUGAAAACCACAUCUAAAAAAGGACAUUGUAGAACUGGAAAAGGUACAGAAGAGGGGAACCAAGAUGAUCAGGGGCCUAGAGCACCUUCCUUAGGAGGCAAGACUAUAACACCUGGGGCUUUUUAGUUUAGAAAAAAAAAGGCGACUGCAGGGAGACAUGCAUGGUGUGGAGAAAUCAUGCAUGGUGUGGUGAAAGAGGAUAGAGAGAAAUUCUUCUCCCUCUCACAUAACUCUAAACUGACUGCCAGAAAAUUUAGGACCAACCAAUGAAAGUACUUUUUCACACAGCACAUAAUCAACUUGUGGAAUUCUCUGCCACAAGAUGUGGUGACAGACAACAACCUGGAUGGCUUUAAGAGGGGUUUGGAUAACUUCAUGGAGGAGAGGUCUAUCAACGGCUACUAGUUGGAGGACUAUAGGCCACCUCCAGCCUCAGAGGCAGGAUGCCUCUGAGUACCAGUUCCAGGGGAGUAACAUCAGGAGGAAAAGCAUGGCCUCAACUCCUGCCUGUAGACUUCCAGUGGCAUCUGGUGGGCCACUGUAUGAAACAAGAUGCUG